rnacentral:rRNA from 1 species
GACGAACGCUGGCGGCGUGCUUAACACAUGCAAGUCGAACGGUGAAGCGCCUUCCUUUUUGGUGGGUGUGGAUGAGUGGCGAACGGGUGAGUAACACGUGAGUAACCUGCCCCCUUCUUCUGGAUAACCGCAUGAAAGUGUGGCUAAUACGGGAUAUUCUGGGUCGGUCGCAUGAUGGGUCUGGGAAAGAUUUUGUUUCGGUGGGGGAUGGGCUCGCGGCCUAUCAGCUUGUUGGUGGGGUGAUGGCCUACCAAGGCGGUGACGGGUAGCCGGCCUGAGAGGGUGGACGGUACCACUGGGACUGAGACAUGGCCCAGACUCCUACGGGAGGCAGCAGUGGGGAAUAUUGCACAAUGGGCGCAAGCCUGAUGCAGCGACGCCGCGUGAGGGAUGGAGGCCUUCGGGUUGUGAACCUCUUUCGCCAGUGAAGCAGGCCUGCCUCGUUUGUGGGUGGGUUGACGGUAGCUGGAUAAGAAGCGCCGGCUAACUACGUG